GGAAUUCGUCUGGAACCCUAAGUACACAUAUUAAAUAUGCGACCCAACUAAAGUCGACGUUUCAGACUCAAUGGAACGAUCGAAACACAAAUCUGAGGUCUCCUUGCCUCGAAACUUGUGAAAGUUGCAAUAAACUAAUAUAACACUCAAAAAAGACCAAACUACCCUCGGGACCUUCGAAAAAUCAACCAACACCUCACCUAGGCCUAAAAUCAUCUCCCAAAUUCAAUGGAACUGUCGAAAAUCUGAUCCGAGCAUCCAAACUCCGAAUGUUGACCAAAAGUCAAACCUUAGUCUAAAAUCACCCAAAUUUCCUACUCAAGGGCUCAAAAAACCCCGAACCUAAAACCGACUAUUCUCCUAGACCAAAAAAGACCAAACUACCCUCAGGACCUCCGAAAAAUCAACUAAGACCUCACCUAGGCCUAAAAUCAUCCCCCAAAUUCAAUGGAACUGUCGAAAAUCUGAUUCAAGCAUCCGAACUCCAAAUGUUGACCAAAGUCAACCCUUAGUCUAAAAUCACCCAAACAGCCAAACUUCCUACUCAAGGGCUCAAAAAACCCUGAACCUAAAACCGACUAUUCUCCUAGACCAAAUUCCACAUUCCGGAACUGAUAGAACUGAAAAAAUUUCAUGCUGAGACUUGAAACUCCAAUUGAUACAAAAAACCGCUUUUAAACACUUUUAGACCUUCCAAAACUCAAAACUUCCUAAAAUCAUAACUUUUCAAUGAAUUUCCAGACCAACUCCACAAACUGAUCAAAAAUGACUCGGGGAAACUAUCAGGAGGGAUAAAAUGGUAAUUUUACAAAAAAAAAUCAAAAUGACCUUCCGGGUCAUUAUAUUAAUAUACUGACAAGCGACAUCUCAUGUAAGAGGAAGACUAAGACUGACAUAUGAGUAAUCAUAAGAGCUUAGCUCACUAGGACCGAUGGCAACUAGGCACAAAUGCACUCAUGAAGCGUAUAGCACUUGGGCACAUAAUACGUUAUAGAUCCUUGAGAUCAAUAUAGGUUACAAGUCCUUGGGAUAAUUGUUUGUCUUCUUCACAUGAUUUAGGUCCCACUUGCUCACGGGAUAUUCACCUGACUUAUAAUGCAUGAUUUUGCCACAUUGCGCUCACGGGG
rnacentral:lncRNA from 1 species